ACUUUUCAUUUGUAGCGCAACUGCAGAGGACUAACUUUGAACGAAACCCACUAAAUGAAGGUCUUAUAUGGCUACAUUUCUUAAUUAAGAAGUGUGGGUUUUAUUUCGACUUCGACGAUUUUGUUAUCAGACUUUUUUUUUAUCGGUUCACGCGAAGUUAUUAGCAGUUGAAAGCAAAGCUCGCGAAUAGCAUUUUCUCGCUAUAGUAAUAGUCUAGCCGAUAUCUAAAUGGAAUAAUCUUAUCUUGUGGUUCAACUAUAAUUUAAAGCUGAUUUCAAGGAGAAUGUGUAUAGAUUUACUGUGAUUUGUUCGUCCAGGAGAAGGAGCAGGCAUGGAAUUCAUACUGCUGCAUGUGCUAGUCUGGAAAAUGAAAGUUCCCGCCUCCGUAUGCAGAGCGUGUGUCAUUGCUGUGACUGGAUCCAACACCACUACGGUCACUUGAGCUCAGAAUACCUUUCCCUGCUGGACCAGAUGGUUGAGGACAAAGUCAGGUUCCUGAAAGAGACCAUCUAUCAAAUCACAAAACCUGGACGAUUUCCUCAACAUUCUAGAACGCCAAUUGGAGAACCUUAAUUCC